UGGAAUAGACACCUGAGCACAAAACAAA
rnacentral:piRNA from 1 species